UACUCGGAUUUUGUUCCACGUGUAUUUCAGCAUCGCGAAUCGAUGAUUUCCACUCUGCGAUGCUUAUUACGGCGAUUCGUUUUUGAAAAAUUUGCAAAAUAUCAUUACUUAUUAUGUUACAUAACAUCGGGUUCAAAGGUGAUCAUCGUCACAAAAAUAUAAUAGAAGUAAAUUUUUUUAAAAAUAAUCAAAAGCAGAAAAUUUUUUUCAUUAAUCAUAAGAUCAUCAGCGCUCUAGGAUACUCGCGUCUUCAUUAAGAUGUUACCGAUAUCAAGGCAAAAAGUAUAGAGGAAUAUCGAUGAAACAUCUUUUAUAAUCAACCUAGUAGACAUCUUAUUAAUUACAGAGAUUACAGCAGGAAAACUAGGACAGGUGAAUAGGACAAGUACAGCAUGCUGCAGGUGGCGGUUUCUGUGACGAAUCAAAGUUGCUUAUGAUAAAUGAAUUUCUGAAUGAUCGAAUCAGCGGAAUUUUACAAGGCAAGUCACACCGAUGGCACGCAAAAUGGAAUCGUCAUCGACGGAAGAAAAAAGAACGUAAUUCUAUUCGAUAGUGUAAUGAUCAUCCUUACUACGUGGAUUAUUGAGAUUCUUUUCACGAUAUUUUGAAGAAACGUCACACGAUUGCCAGGGUGAUGGAGGCGCAGGGCAAAGUUUAAAGUGUAUAAAUUGACCUGAACACUGACAUUGCGCAGAACUAUUUUGUUCUCAAUGAAAAUUCUCUAAAAUUGUUCUUUGAUCUCCUUUUCCUUUGAAAAAUAUCUGAAUUCAACACUAUCCAUAGGACCCUCAAAUUCAAAUUUGAAACCUCAUUGAUAUUAUAUCGAUAUUAUAU